rnacentral:rRNA from 2 species
AUGUCUUCUUGAAAACUCAUAAUAAGAAGUCUAACCUGCCCUGUGAUUAUAUUUAACGGCCGCGGUAUCCUGACCGUGCGAAGGUAGCAUAGUAACUUGGCUUAUAAUUGAAGUCUGGAAUGAAUGGUUGAACAAGGGUAUAGCUGUCUCUAGCAAAGUGAAUAAAACUUUAUUAUUAAGUUAAAAAGCUUAAAUUGAAUAAAAAGACGAGAAGACCCUGUCGAGCUUUAGGCAUAUUAAACACUUCCUAGCAUAUAUGGAUAGGGAACAUUUUUAGAUACUUUGGUUGGGGCGACCCUGGAACAAUAAAAACUUCCAGUUAAUUUUAAUACACAUACAUAUUAGAUCCACUUCUUAGUGAUAGGAAGAUUAAGCUACCGCAGGGAUAACAGCAUAAUCUCUUUUGAGAGCUCAAAUCGAAAAGGGGGUUUGUGACCUCGAUGUUGGACCAAAAUAACCUAAAAAUGUAGAAGUUUUUAAGGGUUGGUCUGUUCGACCAUUAAAAUUUUACGUGAUCUGAGUUCAGACCGG